rnacentral:rRNA from 1 species
UACGUAGGGGGCAAGCGUUGUCCGGAUUUAUUGGGCGUAAAGAGCGUGUAGGCGGCCGCACAGGUCCGUUGUGAAAACUGGAGGCUUAACCUCCAGACGUCGAUGGAAACCGUGCGGCUAGAGUCCGGAAGAGGAGAAUGGAAUUCCUGGUGUAGCGGUGAAAUGCGCAGAUAUCAGGAAGAACACCCGUGGCUAAGGCGGCUCUCUAGUACGGUACUGACGCUGAGACGCGAAAGCGUGGGGAGCGAACAGG